rnacentral:lncRNA from 1 species
AUAUUCAUGCAAUUUGGGCCAGGUUUGCCUUAGACCCAACUGUUCGCAUCUUUCGAAAAUAAGCAUUGGGCCCAAAAGAGCCCAGAUCAGGUGCAGGGCCAAUUACGGGAGGCUUGGGACUUAGGAUUUAAACUCCCCUUUCAUAACACCAAACCAAACUUUCAAAACAUCAAGGUUUAAGACCUAAUUUCCCACUGGACUGACUGUACAGAGAUCUUGAACAAAACUAAUAAGCAACUUAAACUACUAAUAAGCAAAUUAAGCUACUAAUAAGCAAAUUAAACUACACUCAACCACCAAACUACUCCAAACAUGAAUCAGAAAACCACAAUGGCCAUUCCACAUCAAUAGCCAACUGCAAACACAUACUUUCAAUUUCAAAACCAUGUAACUCAACCACAACUUACUUUCUCUUAUCAUAGUUCAUGUACAUAAACACCAAACCCAAAUUCAUGUUAACCACAUGACUAGCCCAUGAUUUACCAGAUAUUACAAGCCAAACAUAAAACCAAACAGAUAAUAAAGUAGAAUGUGACAAAGAGACCAAACUAACUAUAGGAAUUGAUGAUUUGUAAGAGGUAGAAUUCAAUAAACUGAUAUAUUUUACAUUUCAACUCAAUCAGACACAUUGUGUUCCUCCAUUUCACAUGUCAAAGAGGUAAAAAUAUCUGGAAAUGACAAAGGAAAUAAAGAACUGAAGAAUCAGUGGACAACAGCAAGCAAAAUAGAGCCCAGACUCGGUCAAUAAAACAGUAAAAACCAGCUCAAAAAACAGUCGAUGUGGAGGAACCACAAAUCAACACCCCAACUUCAAACCAAACUCAAACCAUUUUCUCAAACCCAACAGUAUAACUAUGGAGCUUUUUCAAGAGUUUUAGCUAAAAGAAUCAGAAAUCCAAAAAAAAAAACAAGCCACAUUUUGAGCAGUUUUCCACCAAGAACUGCAGAAAAUCAGUAUUCUUUUUAGAGUCAGCCGUUCAGUUUUUUCAGGUUAUUUUAUCUCUAAUUUUUGACUUCAGUUUCAAGUAUAAAUGCCUUUAUAGGCAAGGUUUUAGGGUUGCAGAAACAAGCUCUAUUUUGCACUUAAAACCUCUUGCAAUUUUGGUUGCUCAGGUACCCUCACUUAAAGAAUCAAAUUUUCAGUUAAGCUCCAACGACACCUUCCUAGCAACUUCCUAAUUCAGUUACUGAGAUUUCCCCUAUCUAGAGUUCCUAAAUUACCCCUUUAAGCCUUGUUAAUUACUUCAAAGACCAGACACAUAUGGGUCAAAAGUCAGACUGACCCAAUGAUUUAAUUCAAAAAUCCAGGCUUGCAAGACUAGAUUGAAUCUCUUUUCCGGGCUUCUGAAUUUAAAGCCCGCAUGGAAUCAUUGGGCUAGGAAAAAUUUCCCAAGAGAAAAAUUGAAUUUCUUUUCUUUGAAAACCAGAAAAUGAAAUAACACAAAGACGCAGAGAAAUUAACACGACAUGCAUGAAGAAAACUCGUUUUAAAACAUACAAACAGAUUAAUUUAAAACGAAAACAAAACGGAAAAGAUGAAGUAAAAGGAGAUGGUAAUAGAACUUAAAAAAAACAAAAUAUGGAACAGAAGAAAAAUGACAGAAAGGAAAAGGACUGAAAAUACCUAAACCAAGUGGAAAAAGCCUUGAAAAUAUUCAAAGAAAACUCCGAUUUUUGAACGAAAUAGGCCCUAAUCGUGUGUUCUCAAACGAAAACACACGAAUAAAGCCAAUUUCGGCCUUAAACCUUCGUUAAACUCACUGAUUUGGGUUUUGGGAUUUCAGAGUUCCACAUUCGAUCUAAGAUUUGAGAAGUUCUUGUAAGAUUCGAGGGAAAUGGUGCGUGGAUUUGGAAUGAGGGGAUGAAGGGGGUGAUAUGGUGUAAAUCUGGGCCAAUUUGGUGGUGGCGCCACCACCGGAGGAUGGUGGAAUCGUGGGGUGGCUUCUAAGGUUUUCUAUUUGUUCUCUGAAGAAGGUGAAGGGUUGAGAGAGACGAGUG